ACCAAGCUCUUGUUGGUAGAAUAGUUCCAGGCCUGCUACACCACACGUGAGUCCUCACCAAGUUCUUGUUGGUAGAAUAGUUCCAGGCCUGCUACACCACACGUGAGUCCUCACUGGCUCGUGUUGGUAGAAUAGUUCCAGGCCUGCUACACCACACGUGAGUCCUCACUGGCUCGUGUUGGUAGAAUAGUUCCAGGCCUGCUACACCACACGUGAGUCCUCACCACGUUCUUGUUGGUAGAAUAGUUCCAGGCCUGCUACACCACACGUGAGUCCUCACUGGCUCGUGUUGGUAGAAUAGUUCCAGGCCUGCUACACCACACGUGAGUCCUCACCAAGCUCUUGUUGGUAGAAUAGUUCCAGGCCUGCUACACCACACGUGAGUACUCGCACCGCAGCCAAGUUCUUGUUGGUAGAAUAGUUCCAGGACUGCUACACCACACGUGAGUCCUCACAAGUUCUGGUUGGUAGAAUAGUUCCAGGCCUGCUACACCACACGUGAGUCCUCACCACGGUCUUGCUGGUAUAAUAGUUCCAGGCCUGCUACACCACACGUACCGGAGAGAAAGGCUGCACCGUGCUGAAGAUGUGCUCCAAACCCGGCUGGACCUGCUGCAACACCGACCUUUGUAACAACUGAUGCUCCAAACCCGGCUGGACCUGCUGCAACACCGACCUUUGUAACAACUGAUGCUCCAAACCCGGCUGGACCUGCUGCAACACCGACCUUUGUAACAACUGAUGCUCCAAACCCGGCUGGACCUGCUGCAACAUCGACCUUUGUAACAACUAGAUCCAGCGGCUGCUUGUGUUUGUGGGGGGGGGGGAUGGAUGGAUGGAUGUUUAACAUCUCUGGACUUUGAGUCAUCAGUCGUAUUUGGGCAUUUCUGGACUUUACUUUGUUAAAUCUAAGCCUCUGCUGGUUUGUGAAUGUUGAAACUUUUGUGGCUGCAGAAUAAAAGCUGAAAUGUU